UAAGGAAUCUUCCACAAUGGGCGCAAGCCUGAUGGAGCAAUGCCGCGUGCAGGAAGACGCUUUUCGGAGUGUAAACUGCUUUUCUGAAGGAAGAUUAUGACGGUACUUCAGGAAUAAGGAUCGGCUAACUACGUGCCAGCAGCCGCGGUAAUACGUAGGAUCCAAGCGUUAUCCGGAAUUACUGGGCGUAAAGCGUGCGCAGACGGUUUGAUAGGUCAGUUGCGAAAUCCCGUGGCUCAACCAUGUGGACUGUAAUUGAAACCAUCUGACUAGAGGUAGGUAGAGGCAAGUGGAAUUUCUGGUGUAGGGGUGACAUCCGUAGAUAUCAGAAGGAACACCAAUGGCGAAGGCAGCUUGCUGGGCCUUACCUGACGUUCAGGCACGAAAGCGUGGGGAGCAA
rnacentral:rRNA from 1 species